GCCCUGGCAGUCACACGGCCUACUCUCUCACAGCUUCCGCCACGGCCCCGGAAGUCUACGCUCUGUCUCCCAGCUGUGGGGACACACCUAGUGCCACAGUGGUCGUGGGCUGCCUGGUCUCACGCUAUGUCCCUGAGCCAGUGACCGUGACCUGGAACUCGGGCAUCCUACCCAGCAGCGUGCACACCUUCCCAUCCGUCCGAGGGUCCUCGGGGCUGUACUCUCUCAGCAGCACUGUGACCGUGCCUGCCAGCACCUCGUCCGGCAAGACCUUCACCUGCAACAUAGCCCACCCGGCCAGCAGCACCAAGGUGGACAAGCGCAUCGAAAUCAACGGCCCAAACCCCCGUUCCAGGUGUCCCAAAUGUCCACCCUGUGAGCUCCCAGGAGGACCGUCCGUCUUCAUCUUCCCCCCGAAACCCAGGGACACCCUCACAAUGUCCCGAAAACCGGAAGUCUCCUGCAUGGUGGUGGAUGUGAGCAAGGAGGACACCGAUGUCCAGUUCUCCUGGUAUGUGGACGAUGUAGAGGUGCACACGGCCAAGACGAAGCCAAGGGAGGAGCAAUUCAACAGCACCUACCGUGUGGUCAGCGCCCUGCCCAUCCAGCACCAGGACUGGCUGCAGGGAAAGGAGUUCAAGUGCAAGGUCAACGACAAAGGCCUCCCGGCCCCCAUCGUGAGGACCAUCUCCAAGGCCAAAGGGCAGCCCCGGGAGCCGCAGGUGUACGUACUGGGCCCAGCACAGGAAGAGCUGGCCAAGAGCUCGGUCAGCGUCAGCAUAACCUGCAUGGUCACCGACUUCUACCCGAGCGACAUCGACGUGGAGUGGCAGAGAAACGGGCAGCCGGAGCCACAGGGCAACUAUGGCACGACCCCACCCCAGCUGGAGGCCGACGGGUCCUUCUUCCUGUACAGCAAGCUCAGGGUGGACAAGAAGAGCUGGCAGCAGGGAGACACCUACACGUGUGUAGUGUUGCACGAGGCUCUACGCAAUCACAACACGCAGAAGUCCAUCACCCAGUCUUUGGAGCUGCUGCUAGAGGAGGAGACCUGUGCUGAUGCCCAAGACGGGGAGCUGGACGGGCUGUGGACGACCAUCUCCAUCUUCAUCACCCUCUUCCUGCUCAGCGUGUGCUACAGCGCCACCGUGACGCUCUUCAAGGUGAAGUGGAUCUUCUCGUCGGUGGUGGAGCUGAAGCAGACGAUUGUCCCCGACUACAGGAACCUGGUCGGACAGGGUGCCUAGUGCUCACUACGGGCUGCGUCCUGGGCCGCCCCUGACCUAUAGGACCACGUCUAUCCCCCUGUGCCGCUCAGCCUGCGCCAGGCCUCUCCUCCGCCCGCUGACCUCGCCAGCCUCUGAGCUCACGAGCACCCUCACCUGCACCCCCGGCCUCUGGCCUCGUGGCCACCACAACCUGCCCCCCACCCCACUCACAGACCCGAGGGGACCGCAGGUGAUGCCCAACCUGAGCUGAUGUCCCCGCAGGACACCUCCGGGACCCCAGGGACCACCGGGAACGCCCGGGUCGGCGUGGGGGUCCCCCUCGAACAGGAGGAGGAGGCCGGCGUCUGGGCCUCUGCACAGGGCCUGGCCCCUGCAUCUUGUCCCGGCCGAGCUCCAGACGCAGGGUCCCCGGGAGGAGGGCCUGUGCCAGAUGCUGGAGGGGAGCCGCCCACCUCUCCCAGCAGGAGAGCUUCUGCAGGUGCCGCUAAUGGUCCCUCAGGUCACCUCCACCGUGGACGCUGCUCAGAGCAAGGCCUGGGCCCGAGGCCGCUGCAGGAGCCCCAGCACGGGAGGCGGUGAGGUCCAGCCAGACCGGCCUCCCGGGGAGCACGCUGUUGACCUGGUGCCCCACGGGCUGAGCUGGAGGGGCUCCCUGAAAAGAGGGCAGAAGGCGCGGCCAGCCCAUCCUGCAGCCAAAGGCCUGAGGCACGUACAGCAGGAGCUCCGCCUGCACCGGGGUGGGGGUGAGAGACGCGACCCGCGUAGGGCCAGCCUCGGACCCCGAGCCCCCGCCUCAGGGCCUGGUACCAGCUCUCCGGUCUCUGCGGAAAAGCGCAGUCAGCAUGCGCGUGUGGUGGAGCUGCUCCCGGACUGGAGAGAAGGGCCCCGUGAUCGCAGCUCGGGAGGCUUUUCUCCUUCUGAACGUGGGGCCCGUCGAUGCUCUUCGCUGUGUCUUCAUUUUGUUACGACAAUAAAGCGUUCUUUACAGUC